GACAGAGGGUGCAAACGUUGUUCGGAAUUACUGGGCGUAAAGCGCGUGUAGGCGGCCCUGCAAGUCGGAUGUGAAAUCCCACGGCUCAACCGUGGAAGUGCAUUCGAAACUGCAGGGCUAGAGUCCUGGAGAGGAAGGUGGAAUGCUUGGUGUAGAGGUGAAAUUCGUAGAUAUCAAGCGGAACACCGGUGGCGAAGGCGGCCUUCUGGACAGUGACUGACGCUGAGGAGCGAAAGCCAGGGGAGCAAACGGG
rnacentral:rRNA from 1 species